rnacentral:misc_RNA from 1 species
AACAUCGCGCACCUGCGGGAACCUGCGGAGGGAUCAUUACAGAGUGUUCCACCCCCCCGUAAAAAGGGGGGGGUUUAACCUCCCGUCCUUUGCUGGGCCCCCCCGUUUUGUGGAGGGUCUUUUAAAUCUUUCUGCUUCGGCGGGAUUAACCCGCCGGAACAACCUCAAAAAAAUUCUUGGUCAAAACCGUUUCAGUCCGAGAAACUUUUAGUGGGAUAAAAAAACUUUCAACAACGGAUC